ensembl:snoRNA
GGUCAGUGAUGAAAUGAUGUUUUAUCUGAAUCUGCAGUUGAUGUGGUUUAACACUCAGCUCUAGAAUUACUCUGAGACCUG